AUGAACGUUUCCAGGUACAUUUGCACAAGUAAGCAUUAUGCUUUAAUGGUUAAUUGGCUUCCACAACCUCUACCUCACUCAAACAUCAUAAUGGAGGGGUGCCAGCUGUUAUGCCUGACAGAGGAUUGUGAUUUCAGGUGGAAAGUCCCCAGCAGGUGCAGAUUAAUUCUCCAGACAAAGAGCUUGCUUUGGGGCAAACAACAACAAAGAGGAAGGUGGGACCGGGCUGCUUCUGAGGGGCGUUUUUGUCCAGGUCUCUGGCCACCGGGGUCAGGCACUUUCCCUAAGGACUCAGCCCUGGGUUUAGAUGACCUGACCUUGCAAUCCGUUGCCCUCUCGCCUGUGGCUGAGUCACAUCCUCUGGUUUGUUUUGAUCGCUCGGAGCCCCCCUCUUCUAGGGCGGUGCCUGCAGGAUGGCUGGGUUUGUCACACCUGACUAGCGCGCAAGCAAACACUGCCUUGAAAGCAGGGGCGGGGGGAAGGUCCCUCCGCAACCAAGCAAAUAGGCUCCGCACUGGCAGGAGGCGGCAACCCGACACCCCUCCAGCCCCUGGGCGGACCGGCCGCCCCGAACUCCUCCUCCCGGGGGAGGGGGGGGGGAAGAGAGAAAAGAGACAAAAGGGUCAAACUAGCAACGCAGCUACUUCGGCGUCUGCGAAGAGGAAGUUCAGGGAACAAACAAACAAGCGGAUCGGUGCCUGCCCCCAGCAAGUCUGGGCCUCCCACCUCCUCCCAUCUCUUCGGGGCAGAAUUCACCCCCGCUGCGCGGUCCCACCUGAGCCCCAACUCCACCGUACGCGGAAUCUCCCCGCGAGGGAGCGGAGGCGCGCGGGCAAUCCGCGCAGAGAGCGGGGCAGCGCGUACCAGGAGCUGGGCGGAGUGUCUAUUCUAGGACUGUGGGCAUCCCAGAGUAGGUGUGAGCGCAGAUGUACUAGAUACACAAUGGUGGAAAGGCACUCCAGGCUCAGCCCCAGUAAAAGGACCUCUUUUCCUCCCUUUGCAGGUCAUGCUCAUCAGAUGCCAGCACUUUGUGCCAACUGGGCCUCUGCUGAGAGAAUAAAUGCUGUGGGAGGUCUUGAAAUGCUUUGUGCAACAGAUAUGGACAAAAGCCAAUGA
rnacentral:lncRNA from 1 species